AAGGCCAAAAUGGACUCACUUGGUGGAGCCAAUUAAACUGUGUUGCCUGAGAAGAGUCCCAUGGCACAACCUUUCCUGGUUCCCAAAUCAAAUCAAUGAAGAAAAUUCUUGCCCACUGGAAAGGAGAGCAUCUCUUUGAGAUCUGAAUGGAUUAUAAGUUCCCAAGGCUCUAUGGACCAUAUGUAUGAUUUUUUCCCUGCAUCUUUGAAGCUUCCCCAGAGGUAAAUGCAUCUCUUAAAAGUGCUUUUUGAUGGGGAUGAAACAAAAGAAGAAAGGUUUCUGGAAGCAGACUUUCUGGGAAUUGCCAGAGAAAGCUGUCCAGAGGUCAGAGGGUGGCUAUUCUUCUGUCUGAAGCGGCUUUAAAGAAAUC